rnacentral:rRNA from 1 species
GACGGAGGGCGCAAGCGUUAAUCGGAUUCAUUGGGCGUAAAGGGCGCGUAGGCGGGGAUAUUAGUCAGAUGUGAAAUCCCGGGGCUCAACUCCGGAACGGCAUUUGAAACUGUAUUCCUUGAGGGUAGGCGGAGAAAACGGAAUUCCACGUGUAGCGGUGAAAUGCGUAGAUAUGUGGAAGAACACCAGUGGCGAAGGCGGUUUUCUAGCUUAUUCCUGACGCUGAGGCGCGAAAGCAAGGGGAUCAAACAGG